UACGUAGGGUGCGAGCGUUGUCCGGAAUUAUUGGGCGUAAAGAGCUUGUAGGCGGUUUGUCGCGUCUGCUGUGAAAAUCCGGGGCUCAACCCCGGACUUGCAGUGGGUACGGGCAGACUAGAGUGUGGUAGGGGAGACUGGAAUUCCUGGUGUAGCGGUGGAAUGCGCAGAUAUCAGGAGGAACACCGAUGGCGAAGGCAGGUCUCUGGGCCACUACUGACGCUGAGAAGCGAAAGCAUGGGAGCGAACAGG
rnacentral:rRNA from 1 species